GGCAUUUCACAAUAUUGAGUUGAUUUAAUAUGUUAUUUGAAUUUUCACUUUUAGAUAGAACACUGAAUAUAGCCAUGCUGUAGGAGAUCUCCUCUGGAUGCCAAGGUAGGCAAUGUCACAAAUAUCACGUGUGACCUUCUGUAAGCCGCCUCUGUCUUUUGACUGUUUUUUCUAUGACAAAAUGAUGUGGAUUGGGUGAAUGUGGAGUGGGAUGGCAUUCCAGGUGUGAGUGUUUAGGGAGGGGAGGGAGAUGUUGGAUUUGAUAAUCUCCAAAUUCACAUUCAUCUUUGUGACUCCCAAUGGUAUGAUUUCCCAUUCCCUCAUUUACCUUUUUCCCAAUAUUUUAUUGAAGGAAAUUGACCAGAAAGCCUGAUGACUUGAGAGAGGACUCCCUGGGAAGUCCAUGGAGUCUGCUAGGAGAGGAGAGUGUGUGUGUGAAUUUGGGGCAGAGGUAGGGAAUAUCCAUGAGUAGAGAACACAUGAGGUGGUGAAUAGAAAAUUGGAAUUCAGAAAACAUGGGCUCAUAUCCUGCUGGUGACUCAAACUCUGGGAGUAUGGGGGAAAGACCUUAAAGUCUUUGAUGAUUAGUGAAUUCAAUUUUUAAAUGGAGAUUAUAAGAUAUCUUCAACCUUCAACACAGACUGUUUUAUUAUUUACUUGAGGGGAACAGAGUCAGGAUGGCAGAGAGUACAUAGGUCUUUGUCUGACCUCUUCUUGCUUUCCCUCAGAUCAAUAUUACAUCAAGCCUAUGAACCUGUUUUGGAGUUACAGAACCCAUAAAUAUUUGGAGUGUAACGAAUUUCCAACAUAAAAUAUUUUUAAAAAACUUCAAUCAAUGUCUGUUUCAAAAAAGAUUCACUUGGAAUGAGGUGAGGAAGAGACAAAACCAAUGGAUCCUCAGGUGGCAAAUAUGAUAAGGAACAUCACUGGCUUUUGGAUAAUAUCACAUAUAUAUUGUUCAUUCAUGUUUUUCGAAAUGAGACAAAGACUAAAGAAAAACGCUUUUAUGUGGCACAUGCAUGGGAUCCUGUCAGUGACUUAUUCAAUGGAAGUGUGUGUUUGUAUUUGUUAUUUGUGGACAAAGCACAGUUGUCCAGGAUUUAUUCUCAAGAAAGAUUGGGUGAACUGGUGUUCUUGGAUCCUCAUUUUGACCUUCUACAUGCUCAUAAUAAUGAUUGUUUUGAAAUUUUCCUCUAAAUAUAUUUCCUUUUAUUUAAUGAUACUGCUCUUUUCAGAGAAUUUCACCAAUACUGAGCACAUUAUCUUUUCGAUUUCUAUAUUUAGGGUAUUUUUUACAUGGUUUUUUUCCCUUAUUAUUUAAAAAAUUCUCUAGGCUUCUCAGAAAUAAGGAGCUCUGUCCCAACCUUUCUGUGCAACUCUGAGCCUUGGUUUUGAGCACAAAGGUCUCUGUUUGCAGAGGGAACUUUGACUGCUCUGUUCAGGAAACAGCCUAGUUUCACAGAGUUUGCCUUCUGAGCUGGGACUGGAAGCUGCCCCACUGAUUUGUUCUUAGAUUGAGGCAGGGCAGAGCGCCUUCAGUGUGAUUUGCUGUGAUUAAGAUCCUCUCACCAAACUUUCCCACAGUCUAUCUGAACUGGUCUGAACACACUUUUCACCCCAAUGAGACUGACUUUUUUUGAACUUUUUUUCAGUCUGUGUUGAGCUGGAAAGUAGGUUCAUUCCAUCAGACUCUGUUCAGAGGCUUGGUUUCAUGGGAUUUUCCAGGGAAACUGGGAGAACUGGAGCAGCUCCCUGAUUUUAUUCCACCAUCUUGGCUCCACCUCAGAAGUCUUUUUUUCCUAUUCUUAUUUAAAGGUUUAAGUUCCAAAUUCUGUCCCUCUUUUCCUUCUCUCCCCUCCCCAAGAUUGUAAGCAGUCAGAUAUAGUUUAUACAUGUGCAAUUAUGUAAGACUUCCAUAUUCGUCAUUUUAUACAAGAAGACUCAAAUGAAAGAAAAAAAGCAAUAAAGAGAUAAAUACCAUGUUUCACCCUGAAUUCAGCCAGUAUGAGUUUUUCUAUGAAGGUGGAUAGUAUGUUUUAUUAUUAUUCUUUUGCGAUUGUCUUCCAUUGUUGUCAAGAUGAAAAUAAGUAAGUCAUUCAAACUAAGUAUACUUUUAACUUGUGUUCAGCUUAUCUUCACGAGACAGUAGUUCAAGUAACUGGAACUUAUUCUUUAGACUUGCUGGCAUACAGAAAAUGACUAGACUGCCCUGGCAAUCAUCCAAGGUUUAUUCCCCAGAACCAGUGAUGCUCAAUUUGCUAGGAAAUGGGGGAGUACCAAGGGGAAGGCUAACAAAGAUGAAGCCAGAGGAAAGGGAGGGCCCAAGGAAGAAGGUAGACCAGGAGUCUUAGAACCUGAUCUGGAGGCAUCUAAGGAACAAAGUUGGGCUAUUUUGAAGAACAAGAUGUUUUUCUCCAUCUCUAUUCUCUCCCUCCAUCUUUUUUCUUUCUCUCCUCUCCUUGCUUAUCUUCUUCCUGCUCAUUCUCUGCUUCCUUCUUCCGUUUAAAGCUAGAACUAGCAUCCAAACUACAUAGGAUUCUGCCCCUCAUUCCUAUAUCCUCCCCUGGAAUGGGCAGCAGGCAUUGCAUGCUACCUUCUGUGCUUUCUCUCUUCUAAUGCCAGCUGGUCCACAGUCUCACCAUCCUUCUGUGUGGUAUGGCAAAUGCUAAGUCAAAAUGACUUCUCAGAAGUCUCUCAAAGUGAAGAAUAGAAGCUUAUUCAGGAAUCUCAUGAAAACCAGACAUCCAAUAAACUGGGGUUCCCCAGGAAAAAUGAGAUCACCCCUUCAGAAGUCAGGGGAGAUUAUAUAGUCACAAGCCAUAAGAAAUCAUGACAAUGCCUCCCUCCCCUACAAAUCUGGUAGAUUCUCAUUAUCUUGCUUAAUACCUGGAAGUAACAUGGACUUGUUAAAUUUUGACCUGAAUUUUAUGAUGCUCAGUUUGACAAGUUUUACAACUGUUUUACUUUAUCCAAUAUGAGCACUCUAUUUCCCAAAUUCACCAGGUAGACUGAAUCUAAGCCAUAUAUUCAAUCUACCUUAGUUAAUGAUUUUAUAAGAAACCAUAUAAUUCCCUCACAAAGAGGACAUUUGUUUAGAGGUAAGUAAUCCAUUAAACUAGAAUAACCAAGGAGACUUGGUUUACCCCAGACUUCCUCAACAAAUAGAGAUUAUCCAGUUUAUAGACCCCUUAGAAUAUCUCCAGUUCAUUAAUUAGUUAGCUUCUUCUAAGAAGUUAAGUAGAGGUUCAGGAGGUCAAAUAUUUCUACUAGAAGAGCAAACUUUUUUUUUCUCCUUCCCAGAGUCCUAAUGAUUAACAGACCUUUGAAAUUGGGUCUGGAAUUAUCAGAGAUAUCCUCAGUUUCCUGUUACACUCACCUCCAACUCCCAAAACUUCAAGAUAGUCAUAUUCCUUCCCUGAGGAAGAAUGCACUGUGGUCAUAAAUUCAUCCCUUCUCCAAAGAUCUGAUAGGUAAAUUAUCCCUUGUUCUCCUAAUUUGUUUAUGGUAUCAUCCUUUAUGCCCAAAUCAUGUAUCCAUUUUGAUCAUAUUUUGGUAUGGGAUAUGAAGUGUAUGUCUAUGCCUACAUUUAGACAUAUUAUUUUCUGACAUAUUAUUUGACAGGUGUUUCCCAGGGCAGCAGUUAACCAG
rnacentral:lncRNA from 1 species